rnacentral:rRNA from 1 species
CCCUUAGAUGUUCUGGGCCGCACGCGCGCUACACUGAUUCAUGCAACAAGUUUUGUCCUUGGCUGAUAGGCCUGGGUAAUCUUUGAACGUGAAUCGUGAUGGGGAUAGAUGAUUGCAAUUAUUCAUCUUCAACGAGGAAUUCCUAGUAAACGCAAGUCAUCAGCUUGCAUUGAUUACGUCCCUGCCCUUUGUACACACCGCCCGUCGCACCUACCGAUUGACUGGUCCGGUGAAAUCUUCGGAUCUGAGAGAUGUCUGAUUAAUUUCGGACGCCUUUUGGAAAAGUUGCUUAAACCUUACCAUUUAGAGGAAGGUGAAGUCGUAACA